CAAUGGGCCGUACAAAGGGUUAAGAAGCCACGAGGUGAAGCCAAUCCCCAAAAAGCGGGCCUCAGUUCGGAUUGCAGUCUGCAACUCGACUGCAUGAAGCUGGAAUCGCUAGUAAUCGAGGAUCAGAUACGCCACGGUGAAUACGUUCCCGGGCCUUGUACACACCGCCCGUCACGCCAUGGAAGCUGCGAGCGCCCGAAGUCGGUGCAGGAACCCGCAAGGGACCAAGCCGCCGAAGGCGAGCGUAGUGACUGGGGCGAAGUCGUAACAAGGUAGCCGUAGGGGAACCUGCGGCUGGAUCACCUCCUUUCCGGAGUAACGAGUAAGCACUUCGGUGCCGAAAGUUCACACACGGAGGUCGCCCGCCUUGCACGUCCUUCCUCUCUCUCGUUCUCGAUUGCGCUAUUUGACAACGGAAGUUGGUAAUGGUGUAAAUCGCGGAAAUCCUCGAGCGACGUAACAACGUCGACAUCACUCGAUGAGAGGAUCGCGCGUGCUUUGCUUGACACAGAAUUUGUAGUCAAGCGAACGAAGGUAUGUGGGGGAUACCUAGGCACACAGAGAAUA
rnacentral:misc_RNA from 1 species